rnacentral:rRNA from 1 species
UACGUAGGAUGCGAGCGUUGUCCGGAAUUAUUGGGCGUAAAGAGCUCGUAGGCGGCUUGUUGCGUCGACCGUGAAAACCCGCGGCUUAACUGUGGGCUUGCGGUCGAUACGGGCGGGCUGGAGUUCGGUAGGGGAGACUGGAAUUCCUGGUGUAGCGGUGAAAUGCGCAGAUAUCAGGAGGAACACCGGUGGCGAAGGCGGGUCUCUGGGCCGAUACUGACGCUGAGGAGCGAAAGCGUGGGGAGCGAACAGG